rnacentral:rRNA from 1 species
AUUGAACGCUGGCGGCAGGCUUAACACAUGCAAGUCGAGCGGGGGAAGGUAGCUUGCUACCGGACCUAGCGGCGGACGGGUGAGUAAUGCUUAGGAAUCUGCCUAUUAGUGGGGGACAACAUCUCGAAAGGGAUGCUAAUACCGCAUCCGUCCUACGGGAGAAAGCAGGGGAUCUUCGGACCUUGCGCUAAUAGAUGAGCCUAAGUCGGAUUAGCAAGUUGGUGGGGUAAAGGCCUACCAAGGCGACGAUCUGUAGCGGGUCUGAGAGGAUGAUCCGCCACACUGGGACUGAGACACGGCCCAGACUCCUACGGGAGGCAGCAGUAGGGAAUAUUGGGCAGUGGGGGGAACCCUGAUCCAGCCAUGCCGCGUGUGUGAAGAAGGCCUUAUGGUUGUAAAGCACUUUAAGCGAGGAGGAGGCUACUUUAGUUAAUACCUAGAGAUAGUGGACGUUACUCGCAGAAUAAGCACCGGCUAACUCUGUGCCAGCCGCCGCAGUAA